AUUGAACGCUAGCGGCAGGCCUAACACAUGCAAGUCGAGCGAGCGGCGGACGGGUGAGUAAUGUCUGGGAAACUGCCUGAUGGAGGGGGAUAACUACAGGAAACGGUAGCUAAUACCGCAUACCAUCAGAUGUGCCCAGAUGGGAUUAGCUAGGAGGUGGGGUAACGGCUCACCUAGGCGACGAUCCCUAGCUGUUCUGAGAGGAUGACCAGUCACACUGGAACUACGCAACGGUCCGUGCACCUGCGGGAGGCAGCAGUGGGGAAUAUUGCACAAGGGGCGCAAGCCUGAAGCAGCCAUGCCGCGGGUGUGAAGAAGGCCUUCGGGUUGUAAAGCACUGUCAGCUGUGAGGCGUUACCCUCAGAAUAAGGACCGGCUAACUCCGUGCCAGCAGCCGCGGUAAUAC
rnacentral:rRNA from 1 species